UCUCUACUUGCGUAGGCAGUCUCGCCAGAGUCCUCAACUGAAUGGUAGCAACUGGCGACAGGGGUUGCGCUCGUUGCAGGACUUAACCUAACACCUCACGGCACGAGCUGACGACAACCAUGCAGCACCUUGAAAAUUGUCCGAAGAAAGCUCUAUUUCUAAAGCUGUCAAUUCCCAUUUAAGUCUUGGUAAGGUUCCUCGCGUAUCAUCGAAUUAAACCACAUAAUCCACCGCUUGUGCGGGCCCCCGUCAAUUCCUUUGAGUUUCAUUCUUGCGAACGUACUCCCCAGGUGGCUAACUUAUCACUUUCGCUUAGUCUCUCAUGACGAAUCACAAAAAACGAGUUAGCAUCGUUUACGGCGUGGACUAC
rnacentral:misc_RNA from 1 species